UUAUCAAACACGCCCCAAACAUGAAUAAAAAACACCUUAAAAGCAAUUUCCAGUUACCCCUUCCUAUGAGUUGCCAUACCCUGCCAAAAGAAAUUUCCAACACAAUAGAAACCUGGCCUCAGUUCGACUACCACAAGUCCACAACCAUUCCAUCAACAUCACGAUCUCGAACGAUCAAGAUCUGCGAUUUUACAGAUCUGGGUUCCUGACGCCCCCAUCAAGAUCACCUCCUGCACCAUCUGACAACCAGCUCCUUAUAUUGCAACCAACCGCCAUAAUCGAACAGGCGGUGAUGGUGCUUACGACGGUGGUUUUAAAAUCGCACAGCUGCCACUUCACGCUGCAAUUCAAACUGCCAGAUCCCUUACAAUCUCCAUAUAUCGUUGUUUGAAAAAAAGGAUCCAAGUGAAAAAGAAAAUGUGUCAAUGCUACAAAUGCAAAAAAAAAAAAAAUUGAUUUACUUUUACUACGUGUACUUAAUGUAAUAAAUAAAGUAUCUUAGUGUUAGUUGCAUUUUUAGGUAUAUUUUACCAUAUUUUAGCGUGCAUAUUUAAUUGCAUUUUAGGCAUUAAUACUACAGAUAUUCCAUUAUUUUGGAAAAUACGUGUUUGUAGAACGGAGUCUACUUUGGACGUUUUAAUGAUUUUGUAGGUGAGGAGCGGUGGCGAAGUACGAAAGCAUUGGAGUAAGUCGAAAUACAAAUUCACGAGCUAGUGAACAAAGUGAGCUGGAUGUGUACUAAGCUAAAGUUCAUAAAUCACAAAAAGAGUAAUAUAAUCAAUGUUGGUUUGCUUUGGAUAUUCGUGACAUCACAAGAAGAAAUAUCAGUGAACAACUAAAUACAAAAUAAUAAUUGUUUAUGAGAGAAUCUUUUUAGAUUGAAUUUGUUGUGCUAAAAAAAAAACAAAUAUGUGGGCUGCGAGCCAACAACAAGAAAACGAAAAAGAAGGAAAAGGGUAACAAUCAUCACCAACAUUGGGGGGAUUAUCAUUUGACGGCUGGAGUCCUGGAGAUCGAGAUCCGCGAAGACACUUUGUCGUUUGUGAUUUCUAGAACAACAAAACAUUAUUAUUUUGUUUCGUAAGUUUUAAUUCAUUGCGUGUUUUGUUUCGUACUUGUAAUGAUUGAACCAGCCAUCAUGUCCGGCUAGUCUUUUAUAGUUUCGACAUCAGGGUGUAUUUUUUUUUUGUUUUGGUUCAAGAACAUAUGUGAAAUAGUCAUUUAAGAUUCAAUUAUUUUAAUGGUUUGU
rnacentral:lncRNA from 1 species